UGAAUAUCUACAGAUAAAAAAGUGGGUACACAUUUAAACUUAUCCAACAAUAUUUGACCCACUUCUUCCUGCUCCACCGGGUCAAUAUCCACAGGCAAAGACCCGACGUAUACACACUCUACGUCGGGUCCGAACCCGGAUUUUAACUGGAGGACUAGCGAAUCCGAGUCGUAUUCAAAUACCCAUUUGUUUGAUUCUCUAUACGCUUUGACCGGUAACUGAUUUGACACAAUUAUCCGGCGAUCUGUAACAGAUGAAACGACGUCGGAUUGCUCUGUUUCUUUUUCCAGUUUACCGGAAACGUUGUGCUCUUCAAAUUCCGAUAGGAUUCCGGGCACCGUCAUGAUUCUGGGUAUUCUAGGACGAUCAGUUACACAUGAAUAGAUGGAAUAAUCAUCGAGAUUUAACAGAUUAAACGAUGAUCUUGACAACAUUAUUUUCUCCGAGAAAAACAGAGUAUUGAAUUUUGGAUUUGGAUUUGAAUUUGAAUUUGAAGGUGGUGAAGAGGAUAAGAAUAAAGGAGUAGAGAGACCGACUUUACUUGCUGAAAUUAAUAAAGAGCCUAUAAAAAGUGGGGAAUGGGUCGGGUCAAGAUUUGACCCGGAUUGUGUGUUUGUUGAACAUCAAUUUGUUUGUUUCAUCUUCUAACUGUAACCGACUCUAUCUCCUUUUCUAUCUCUCUUUCAUCAAGUGUUCUGACUGGAUACUUUUUAUAGGUGUUGGUGUUCCAGAUAAUGUUACAAGUUUUUGUUCAUCAUGUACAACAUGUGAUGCAGGUGAGAGGGGCACUCCUCUCUUAG
rnacentral:lncRNA from 1 species